UACGAAGGGGGCUAGCGUUGCUCGGAAUCACUGGGCGUAAAGGGCGCGUAGGCGGUCUGUACAGUCAGACGUGAAAUUCCUGGGCUCAACCUGGGGGCUGCGUUUGAUACGUGCAGACUUGAGUCCGGAAGAGGGUCGUGGAAUUCCCAGUGUAGAGGUGAAAUUCGUAGAUAUUGGGAAGAACACCGGUGGCGAAGGCGGCGACCUGGUCCGGAACUGACGCUGAGGCGCGAAAGCGUGGGGAGCAAACAGG
rnacentral:rRNA from 1 species